rnacentral:rRNA from 1 species
CCUACGGGUGGCUGCAGUGGGGAAUAUUGGACAAUGGGCGAAAGCCUGAUCCAGCCAUGCCGCGUGUGUGAAGAAGGCCUUCGGGUUGUAAAGCACUUUCAGUGGGGAAGAAAGCCUUGGGGCUAAUACCCUCGAGGAAGGACAUCACCCACAGAAGAAGCACCGGCUAACUCCGUGCCAGCAGCCGCGGUAAUACAGGAGGGUGCGAGCGUUAAUCGGAAUUACUGGGCGUAAAGCGCGCGUAGGCGGUCUGAUAAGCCGGUUGUGAAAGCCCCGGGCUCAACCUGGGAACGGCAUCCGGAACUGUCAGGCUAGAGUGCAGGAGAGGAAGGUAGAAUUCCCGGUGUAGCGGUGAAAUGCGUAGAGAUCGGGAGGAAUACCAGUGGCGAAGGCGGCCUUCUGGACUGACACUGACGCUGAGGUGCGAAAGCGUGGGUAGCAAACAGGAUUAGAUACCCGGGUAGUC